GCCGGCGUAGCUCAAUUGGUAGAGCCCCUGUUUUGUAAACAGGUGGUUGCAGGUUCAAGUCCUGUCGCCGGCU
rnacentral:tRNA from 1 species